AAAAAAUAAAACUCUGAAAAUAGUGUUUGUUUGUUCAGACGAGACCUUCGUUUGUAGGUCACUAUUUUGUUGAAUGGUUCUUUAAUAUGGUUUCAACAUACAGGAGGCAUCGCGUAGUAGCUUCUCUCUCAAUCGACGAGCAAUCCCCUCUCUUUUUCCUUCUCCAACCCAAAAAAAGAUAAUCAAUUCUCUGCUAUAAUGGGCGAAAGUGAUGACACGCAAAUACUUACUAGGUGCAGAGAAGAAGGUCCUCGCCUCCUUGCUGUGCUGAAGGAAAUGAAGGAUGGAUUAGAUGCCGUGAGGAGCAAAGUUGAAGCCCUUACCCUUAAGG